CCUACGGGGUGCAGCAGUGGGGAAUAUUGGACAAUGGGCGAAAGCCUGAUCCAGCCAUGCCGCGUGUGUGAAGAAGGCCUUCGGGUUGUAAAGCACUUUCAGUGGGGAAGAAAGCCUUGGGGCUAAUACCCUCGAGGAAGGACAUCACCCACAGAAGAAGCACCGGCUAACUCCGUGCCAGCAGCCGCGGUAAUACGGAGGGUGCGAGCGUUAAUCGGAAUUACUGGGCGUAAAGCGCGCGUAGGCGGUCUGAUAAGCCGGUUGUGAAAGCCCCGGGCUCAACCUGGGAACGGCAUCCGGAACUGUCAGGCUAGAGUGCAGGAGAGGAAGGUAGAAGUCCCGGUGUAGCAGUGAAAUGCGUAGAGAUCGGGAGGAAUACCAGUGGCGAAGGCGGCCUUCUGGACUGACACUGACGCUGAGGUGCGAAAGCGUGGGUAGCAAACAGGAUUAGAUACCCUAGUAGUC
rnacentral:rRNA from 1 species